GUCUUUUUAUAGAGUUCAUAGCCUGAUUUAUCUCUUAGCUAAUCACUAUUAGCAUGUAGCUAUUCACUGCUAGCAUGACUAGCAUGUUGGAAUUCCAGUUUGCUAGCAUGAGUCAAAAGAGCCAACCGCCAUGUCUGUACGAUGUUCUGAUUCAGAGAUAUAGGUCUUGCAAAACGGUUGCUAGGGUACUCUGUUUAGUUGCUAGGGAGUUCCUUGGCAUCUGCCAAUGAUGAUACUCAAAGGCUGCUUGCCAAUAUAAACCAACCCCCAUGUCUGUACGAUGUUCUGAUGCAGAGAUAUAGAUCUUGAAAAACGGUUGCUAGGGUACUCUGUUUGGUUGCUAAGGAGUGGCCAGGCAGCUGCCAAUGAUGAUACUCCAAAGGCUGCUUGCCAUAUGAAUGAUAGAAACCAACCCUUAUGGCUUUAUGACAUUCAGAUUUAAAGAUAUCCCUCUAUGCUUUGGGUUGCUAGGGUGCUCUAAAUGGUUGCUAGGGCGUGGCUAUGAAGUCUUGAAGGUGAUUCGUGAUUGGUCGUUUGCUGCCCCAGAGUCAAACGAGCCCACCC
ensembl:lncRNA